rnacentral:tRNA from 1 species
GAUUAUAUAGUAUAGUAUUAAUAUAUAAUAGUUAAAUAUAAUAAUAAACUUAAUUCCCUACGAUGUUAAUAGUAAGUAAUAUUAUUAGUAUUCAUAUCAUUAAUAUAAUUAGAUAAUAAUUGUUAUUUGUUAUUAAGUAUAUAUAUCAUAUUAUUUGAUAUAUAGUUA